AAAAUUACGUUAUUAACUCUCCCAAUUUUCACUCUCUGAACUCUCAUCUCACAAUCACUCUCACUCUCACUCUGAACUCGUUUCUCAUUCUCACUCUCACGAUUGCAACCUGAUUCGUUAACCAUGGAAGCUCCUGAAUCCUUUCCACCGAUUUGAUCUCUCGAUUUCCACCGAUUGCAACCUGAUUUGAUCUCUCGAUUUCCACCGAUUUCAACCUGAUUCACUCUCGAUUUCUUUUGAUUCGACUCUCAAUUUCACUCUCCUGAUUCCACUCUCGAUUAAACCCUAAAAUCUACUCUCGAUUCUCUUCAUGAUUCCUCAAUCUCCAGUGUUUCACGAGAAAACGCUCAAUCUCUGCUUCACUUGCAUUUUCCUGGUAAGAACUCAACUCCACUUCCAUAUGAGUUUCAAUUUUGCUUCUGAUUUUGAGUUUUGUUUCUCUUUGGAAUCACAAAUUAGGCAGAAAUUCUCUGGAGCUGGAACCUAGACAUUGUUAGGAGCUGGAAGUCAUGCCAAGGUUCAAGCGUUUCCACAACCCACAAAAAUCAGCGUCUGGAUCAUCAAUUGAAGCUUCUUCACAAUCAGCUCCUGAAGUCUCUCAAAAAUCCCCACCAUCGAAGAACCCCGUGAGUACACCAUCUUGGAAUGUUGAAGCAAUAGGUUGUAUGGAGUACUCUCCAAAAUAUAUCAUUGAUUUCUUUCCUAAUUGGUAUUACUCUAUUUGGAUGGGCAACCAAGCAAGUUAUAAAUGUUAUUCAGGUUGGUUCAUGAUACAUUUAUGCUUGAUAUUUAGAUGAUGAUUGAUGAGGUGUUGUAUAAUGUAUCUAUCUAGUUUUUUUACCAACCCCUACCCCAUAAUGAAAUGAGGAAGAAGAAGAGAAGCAAAGCAUGUAAGAGAAGAAAAGAAAAUCCAAACUCCAAAGAAAACCGAGCGGAACUUAAUAGUCUAUAUUUUUCAGUUUGGAAUAUUCAUCUUGACAGAGUAAUGGGAAAUUUGUAACCUUUGAGUUCCUGUAAUCUGAACUUUCUUUUAGCAUGACUCAGGAACUUCAUAUUGUGACCUGAUAAUUGGCUUCAAAGAUUUUUUUUACAUUCUAGCUA